CAAGUCGAACGAUGAUAUCACUGCUUGCAGUGAUUGAUUAGUGGCGAACGGGUGAGUAACACGUGAGGAACUUGCCCAUGAGCGGGGGACAACAUUCGGAAACGGAUGCUAAUACCCCAUAGGUGGAUUGGUCGCAUGGCGAAUUCAUUAAAGGUGGCUUUGCUACCACUCAUGGAUAGCCUCGCGGCGUAUUAGCUAGUUGGUAAGGUAAUGGCUUACCAAGGCAGUGAUACGUAGCCGACUUGAGAGGGUGAUCGGCCACACUGGGACUGAGACACGGCCCAGACUCCUACGGGAGGCAGCAGUAGGGAAUCUUCCACAAUGGGUGCAAACCUGAUGGAGCAAUGCCGCGUGAGUGAAGAAGGUCUUCGGAUCGUAAAGCUCUGUUGUUAGAGAAGAACACGUGCUAGGUAACUACUAGCGCCUUGACGGUAUCUAACCAGAAAGUCACGGCUAACUACGUGCCAGCAGCCGCGGUAAUACGUAGGUGACAAGCGUUGUCCGGGUUUAUUGGGCGUAAAGGGAGCGCAGGCGGUCUGUUUAGUCUAAUGUGAAAGCCCACGGCUUAACCGUGGAACGGCAUUGGAAACUGACAGACUUGAAUGUAGAAGAGGAAAAUGGAAUUCCAAGUGUAGCGGUGGAAUGCGUAGAUAUUUGGAGGAACACCAGUGGCGAAGGCGAUUUUCUGGUCUAACAUUGACGCUGAGGCUCGAAAGCGUGGGGAGCGAACA
rnacentral:rRNA from 1 species